ACCCGCUGAACUUAAGCAUAUCAAUAAGCGGAGGAAAAGAAACUAACAAGGAUUCCCCUAGUAACUGCGAGUGAAGCGGGAAAAGCUCAAAUUUAAAAUCUGGCGGUCCUUGUGGCUGUCCGAGUUGUAAUCUAGAGAAGUGCUAUCCGCGCUGGACCGUGUACAAGUCUCCUGGAACGGAGCGUCAUAGAGGGUGAGAAUCCCGUCUUUGACACGGACUACCAGGGCUUUGUGAUGUGCUCUCAAAGAGUCGAGUUGUUUGGGAAUGCAGCUCUAAAUGGGUGGUAAAUUCCAUCUAAAGCUAAAUAUUGGCGAGAGACCGAUAGCGAACAAGUACCGUGAGGGAAAGAUGAAAAGAACUUUGGAAAGAGAGUUAAACAGUACGUGAAAUUGUUGAAAGGGAAACGCUUGAAGUCAGUCGCGUUGUCCGGGGAUCAACCUUGCUCUUUUGCUUGGCGUACUUUCCGGUUAACGGGUCAGCAUCAAUUUUGACCGGUGGAUAAAGGUCAGGGGAAUGUGGCAUCUUCGGAUGUGUUAUAGCCCUUGGUUGCAUACAUCGGUUGGGAUUGAGGAACUCAGCACGCCGCAAGGCCGGGUCUUUGACCACGUACGUGCUUAGGAUGCUGGCAUAAUGGCUUUAAUCGACCCGUCUUGAAACACGG
rnacentral:rRNA from 1 species